rnacentral:rRNA from 1 species
AUUGAACGCUGGCGGCAUGCUUUACACAUGCAAGUCGGGCGGCAGCGCGGGGGCAACCCUGGCGGCGAGCGGCGAACGGGUGAGUAACACAUCGGAACGUGCCCAAUCGUGGGGGGAUAACGUAGCGAAAGCUACGCUAAUACCGCAUACGAUCUACGGAUGAAAGCGGGGGAUCGCAAGACCUCGCGCGAAUGGAGCGGCCGAUGGCAGAUUAGGUAGUUGGUGGGGUAAAGGCUCACCAAGCCGACGAUCUGUAGCUGGUCUGAGAGGACGACCAGCCACACUGGGACUGAGACACGGCCCAGACUCCUACGGGAGGCAGCAGUGGGGAAUUUUGGACAAUGGGCGCAAGCCUGAUCCAGCCAUUCCGCGUGCAGGAUGAAGG